rnacentral:rRNA from 1 species
AAGCAUAUAAUUAAGCGGAGGAAAAGAAACUAACCAGGAUUCCCCUAGUAAGGGCGACUGAAGCGGGAAGAGCUCAUAAUGUGAAUCUGCGCUUGUUGCAAGCGCCGAAUUGUGGUCUGUAGAAGCAUGUGUUUGGCACGCCGGGUCAAGUCCCUUGGAAAAGGGCAGCUGAGAGGGUGAGACUCCCGUAAUUACCUGGGCUGUGGCCAUUUGACACUAGCUUUCAACGAGUCGAGUUGUUUGGGAUUGCAGCUCAAAUUUGGUGGUAAAUUCCAUCUAAAGCUAAAUACGGGUGGGAGACCGAUAGCGUACAAGUACCGUGAGGGAAAGAUGCAAAGAACUUUGAAAAGAGAGUUAAAGAGUACCUGAAAUUGCUGAAAGGGAAGCGAAGGAAACCAGUGCUUUGCUUUGUCAUACUUCUCCUCCCGCUUGCGGGUGGAGCGCUGUGGCCUUGCAUUAGUCAGCCUUGGUUGGUCCCGGCGGAUACCUGAUCUCGGGAGGUAGGGCCACUUGUUGGUCUGAUACCGUGAUCAUGUGUGCUGGGAAAGACUGAGGUUGACAAAAUGGUUUUCUUUACCCCGUCUUGAA